UCAAACUUAUUCAACAUUCAACCAAGUUUAUGACAUAAACACUAAUAUACAUACAUACGGAACGUGUUGAAAAUAACCAAAUUUAUGCAUAAUUUGUGACAUAAAUGUUGCGGUAAUAAAAUACUAAUGUACAACAAAGUUAUUAAAAUCGGGUGGAAACAUCAAAAUACAUAAAAAAGAAAUAACUAUAGAACCGUCCGUCUGUAUAAUCUGAAUACGUCCUCCUCUUCCUCCCACGCCUCACUCAACACUAGAUAAUCAGAUCCAUUUCUUCAGCAAUCUUAUUUACAAUACCAUAUAGAUCAUCGUAAGUGGUACCAAUUUCCAUCUCAUCCAAUGCCAAGAGCCUAAUCCUCCUCCAUAACUGCAAAGUAUCCAGAGUUUCAUUGACAUUCUCCUACUCUAUCAUGACCUUCAUAUUUAUCGGCCUAGGCAGGAGCCAAUAGCAUGGGAUGAGAGAUCUUGUAGAACCAUGAAACCCAAAACAGCUUGUCGCAUGUCUUCAGGUACAACAUGCAACAAGUAAUCUUGUAAUGUCUAAUAUAUUUGAAAGGCAUUUAGCUCUGGUGCGACUGAGGGGGUGCCUUAGAGUGCUUUGAAUAUGUCCAUAUUACUUCAUCACAAGCUCUAGCAAGUGGUGAUAGUUCAUCUUGCGGUCACACUCAAUCCAUCUAAAGAACUAACUUAUAUCAUCAAACGGACACGUCUGAUGAUGAAGGUCAUAUUGGUUGAAGCUAACAUCAUCUACCUCUACACGAUCCAAGAAGGUCAUGUAGUUAUUCGGUGACUUAUGACCCAUGGCAAGACUGAAUCGGGUUGCGUGUGGCCUGUCUUCAGUAUAUUUGGGGUCGAAUACAAAGAGAAUUUCUUAAAAGAAUAAAGUAUAGUUAGAUUAAUAAAAUGAUCGUCUAUACGUAUAUAAGUAAAUUUUAUUGCAUCAUUGUAUAUAUUAAAUAAAUAUGUUUUAGCAAUUUAUUACAGGCACGGAUGCAAGUAGAGGGUUUUGGGGUCAGCUGACCCCACUCUUUGUCAAUUUUUUUAACCAAUAAUACCAUAUUUUUAUAUGUUUGACCCCACUAUAAUAUUCUUCUUUAAGAAAACCCCACUUUAAUUUUUUAGGUUGCUCACACAUAACUCAAUUUAUACACUUGAGACAAACAAUAUAAACUAUUAUAUUAUAUUUGUUAAAAAUAGUAGUACUACAUUUACUUUAUACAUUGAAAGAAAAGAUCAAGAUAUUGUAAAUGCUAUGUCAUUAGUUAAAGUUUCAAAGAAUAGAUUGCAAAAGAUGAGAGAAGAUGGCUGACAUAAUUUACUAUGUGAAGUGUCAUUGUUUUGUGAGAAGCAAAAUAUUGACAUUGUAAAUAUGGAUGAUGCAUUCAUGUUACAAGGAAAACCAAGGCGUAAACUUCAAAAGGUUUCAAACUUGUAUCACUUUCAAGUUGAGCAUGUGAUUGAUAGACAACUUCAAGAGCUUAAUAAUCGAUUCAUCGAGGUGAGUAGUGAAUUGCUUAUUGUGUAGCAAGCUUAAAUCCAAGAGAUUCAUUUUUUGCAUUUGACAAGGAGAAGUUGGUUAAUUUGGCUCGAUUUUAUCCAUCAGAAUUUUCUUCUUUGGAGCUUACGGGAAUAGGCAAUCAACUUGAAAAUUAUAUCAUGGAUGUUCGUUCAUGUGAACAGUUUUCUAAUUUAGAUGGGAUUAGUGAUCUUUCAAGAAAGAUGGUGGAAACUAGAAGACAUAUUGCUUAUCUAAUGGUGUAUUUACUUUUGAAGUUAGCAUUACUUUUACCUGUGGCUACUGCAACUGUUGAAAGGAGUUUCUCUGCUAUGAAAUUUGUGAAGAAUCAAUUGCGCAACCGUAUGGGAGAUGAGUUUUUGAAUGGUUGUUUGGUAACAUACAUUGAGAGUGAUAUAUUUUAUAGUGUUGAAAAUGAAAAAAUCUUGCAACGCUUUCAAAAUAUGACGUCACGAAGAGGGAAAUUGUAAUUCUUCGUGUCUUUAGUUUUUUGAUAUAGUCAUAUACUUUUUGUAAUUUUCACUAUUU
rnacentral:lncRNA from 1 species